GCCCUAAUAGCUCAGCCCAGAGCGCCGGCCUUGUAAGCCGGAUGUCGGGGGUUAAAAUCCCCCUUAGUGCU
rnacentral:tRNA from 1 species